rnacentral:misc_RNA from 1 species
ACCUACUGUUUAAUUCUGAGGGUUCGUUUUUACGAAUACUCAAAAUUAGCACUUUAAGCAACAGAAUAAACUGAACGCAUGUGAAGUUUGUUUGUUGGCGCUGUGCGUUAGCACUUUAAGCAACGGGAUUUAUCCGUUGGCGCCGUGCUUUAGCACUUUGAAAACUGCAUAUAUAUUUAGUGAUAUGACAUCUAAUUUGUAAUAUAUAAAGCUGAUAACUUUUUAAAAUUAUCGAAGUUGAUAGCUUCUAAUCUAUCAAACCUUUUUAACUGGUCAA